rnacentral:rRNA from 1 species
UACAGAGGUCCCAAGCGUUGUUCGGAUUCACUGGGCGUAAAGGGUGCGUAGGUGGCGGGGAAAGUUUGAUGUGAAAUCUCCGGGCUUAACCCGGAAAUGGCAUUGAAUGCUAUUCCGCUUGGAGGGUUGGAGGGGGGACUGGAAUUCUCGGUGUAGCAGUGAAAUGCGUAGAUAUCGAGAGGAACACCAGUGGCGAAGGCGAGUCCCUGGACAACACCUGACACUGAGGCACGAAAGCUAGGGGAGCAAACAGG